UUUUUUUUCUAUGAGGUUUUAUUUUCCCUCCGAAAUUUAUUUGAAUGUUAGGUCUUUUGUGAUUACUAUUAUGACUCAGUACUAUCAGGAGUCUAAGUCUUUAUAUCACCAAACUUUUCAAUAUCUGCUCGGAAAUGUUAUAUGACUCAUACUCCUGUGUCUGGUACAUUGUGAGUAUUCAGAAAGGUUAGCUGUUACUGCUGUUACAAAUAUCACAUGCAUCACUGAAUAUCACCAUGCUAGAAAUGUAACUCAUUUAAGUGCUUCACAAAUCUACACAAAUUAUUGUAACAUCUCUAUUUAUAUUCUUAGAUAGCUUGAUAUUUUCCACCAGCCAUACUUGACCCACCCCAAUCAUCAAUGGUAGCCCACUAACCUCGGGCUGCAAAGAAAUCUGGUAGAACUAUGUGAUAAUUCUAUAUUGUGAAUGAGUUCAAUAAAGCAGACAUAUUACCUCUCAUUUUUAUUUCCCUUCUGUUAUAAAGAAUGCAGGGAUGAGUGUGGACAUUUCCGGUGUGUCUCACCUUCAUUUGAGUUGAGGAUGUUUGCUGGAGGGGAAAGAGGCAGCCAAAACCAACUGUGAGCAAGUACUUUUGAAGACAAAUUCCCAGGCAUAUUCUCGACUCAGCUAUAGUUGAAGGUCAUUUUCUUCAAUUCCUGAAAGAAAUGUAUUAGCUGCGUUCAUCCUUGGAAGAUGGACUUUGAGAAUCACAACUAGAGCUACUGUUGCUGUUGAGCUGCUUCCUACGUGGCAGGCCUCCAAGAAGCUGAGAUUAUUACUGGAUGUGUGAGAUACCUGGAACACAAACUAAAGAAGGGAAGCCGUGAUGGGGGUGUCAGCCAGGAUGGCAGGACAGGUAAAUUAGAUACAGAGCAAAGAAAUUAUUGAGUCACUAAUAUCAUCAAGACUGUUGUGUGGAAAUGUGUGCUCGGGCACAACUGUUUACCAUAAGAACUGGUUCCUGACUGCCAUAGAUUUUCUCACUUUUCUCUGGAGUUCUAAUCCAAAGUCACCCUGAAACAUAGCAAAAAAUUUUAUCCUUGAAUGAUUCACUUCCUGAACAGUACUUGGUCCUCUUAGUCAUUACUUUUGGGUGAGAGAGUAAAUGAAAUCAUACCACCAGUUAUAUUUUAGUCUUCAGAGAAAUGGUAGAUUGAUGAUUCUCUGGCCUUCUUAAAUCCCAACUUCAAAAAUAAGAAGCUAGAAAAAACUUAUUCACAUUUCUAGCUUUAAAAGGAGAUAAAAACCAAAUUAGCUAUCUUUGUUUAGCAAAGGUAUAGAAACGUUCUUCUAGUUAUAACCACCUAAAGAUUGAGGGACCUAUUUGUGUUCGUUGAGAGCUGAGUGAUACUAAAGGAAUUCAGAUUUGGAUAGGCUCAACACUUGUCUUAUACAACACUGCAAGGGUUCAGAUCAUAGGUUUAAGCAAAUAAUCUUUAUAGCCACUUUCAAUUUUGGGUGGCAUAUUUAAAUAAUAAGAGCUAUUCAUGCUUAAGAACAAUUGGGGUUUUAAAAAAGAAAAGAAACUUUGGCGAGCUUGUGUUUUCCCAUUUGCUCUUCUAAUUAUCACCACACCAGUACUCUACCAAUAUAUAGGAAGCAAAUAGAUGAAGAGUAUGUUUGGUAAAAGAAUAAUAAUCCUAAAUUGUGUGUCAAGACAACAGAUACAAUUUUAUUUCUUAUGGAACUGUUCAUGGAUUGCCAAGUAACUCAUCUAGACUUUUCAUACUUUCUCUUGAAGCUGUUUUUAAAGUCAGCAAAAAUAAAGAGUGAUCAGCUGUAAUUUAAGUCAUAAAUAAUCAGCACAAAGAAUAUGGAUGAAUAACAGUUGGAGGGCUGGAAGCUGACUGUAGUUAUUAGUGCUGAUCUAAAACAAAAGGACUCAUAAAGCAAAAUGGGGUUUCCUUGUAUUUUCUGUUAUCUAGCUUCAGUAAAUUUCUGCUUUAAAUAACUGAAAGUCACUUUUUUGUCUUCUUUCUGAACAAAGGCUUCUCUCUAAAUGCAUGUGAAGUUUUCAUGUGAUAUGCUUACUAAUGGGCCAGAGGUCCUCAUUUUGUCUAAAUAAAUAUUAUAUGGAGUACUCUUCAUUGUGCACUAGCAAUAAUUACUUUUAUUUAAAUAAAUAAAGGCUCUUCAUUGACAUCAAUGGACAAAGAUCCAUAAUCAUACAUAUCUCUUUUUAAUAGCCUAUAUUAUCAUUUGCAUGCUGUAAUAUAAAGUAGAUCAACCAGAGACAGUUCCAUUUAAAAAUUGUUAUAUUCUUCAAAUAUUUACCAUGAUCAUUAUAUUCGCCAUACUGAAGACAUUUUUAACUUCGUUAUGAACUAUUAUGUUUUUUCAACAUGAUUUCUUUUUAGUCUUAACUUUAAAGCUGAGAAAAUGCUGAAUGGAAUUCCAUUAAAUAACGAUAUUAUUUAUUAUCAUUACCUCAGUUAAUAGUGCUACUUGAAAUCACAGUGCAUCUAAAAUUAUCAUUUGCAAAUUCUAUACUGCUGUUUUCCAGGAGGACAUGUAAAUGCACACACAUAAAACACAGUGACUCUGUCAGUGGAUAUUUAUAGUUCCCCUGAUAAAAGGGGGGGGGGUAAGAAUCAUGCUCACCAGAUUCUUGUAGUGUCUUUCUGCAUAGAAAGUGGAGAUUUUCUUAUUAUUGAGCCAGGCAUGAGAUUUGCAUCCAGCUUUUUUUGUCUUUUUUUUUUUUUGUGUGUGUGUGGGUUAUUAUAGUGAUUGUCCAUGAUUUUAUUUUAAAUGUCCUUAUUCAUUUAUUUAUUCAAAUCUAUUGCUUCUCUGGUUAUACUACUCAUGAAGAAGCUGAAGCAGCAGCAGAUUGAUUUAAAUUUAGAGACUGUACACAUUAGAAAAAUAAGGGACCUUGAUCUUUUAAUGUUGACACUAUGCAUUAGUUAUCGCUAUUAUGUAAUAAGUUAUCCCAAAACUUAGUGGCUUAAAAUAACAACACGAACUUAAUGUAUUUUACGGUUUUUGUGGCUGGUUCUGAAUGAAGGUCUCUCGUGAGGUAGUAAUCAGAUCCCAGCUUGGGCUGCAGCCCAUCUGAAAACUUGACUGAGGUUGGAGGGUACUUUGUCAAGUUGACCUGUUAUAAUCUGUAACAAUUUCUGAUGUACAGGAAUGAAGGAACAUUCCUCAUGGGUAGUACUUACUUAAUAAGCUUAUCAAGAGGAGCUCCCUUGAAACAACUUUGCUUUUCUUGAAACAACCUGUCUUAUUCAUGAAUUGCUUUGGUAUUUAAAAUAAAUAAGUUGGGAUCUCUCCUUCUGGCAGUGUGACAGAAUAAAUUUUCUGAAGCAUGUAAAACAGACAAAUUAAACCAGCUUCUGUCUGGAUAAAGUAUGUCUUUUAAUUGAUUUUUGGUCUCAAAGUAAGAAGUAAAGGAAAUUGUUAAGGGCACCCUUCACCACUACCUGAAGGAUAUGAAGGACCAGAGAACAAGAAGCAAUCGAAGAAAGCCAAAGUGGUCCUCAGGGCAGAUGUUUUUACUAGUGCUAGUAUCCAUCAGGUGACUACAUUAAUUGGGUGAUAAGGGUUAGAGGCAGAAAAACCAAACUCUGGGAGUUCUUCAGAAGUUUGUACAACCUUAAGUGGCUAAAGCAGAGACAAAUUUUCUCCAGCCCACUGACCCCAAGUUUACACCACUGGGUUUUCAAUGUAAUAAAAUAUUCAUAUAUGAAUUCAUUAGCAAAGAUAACCUGAUAAACAAGGAAGUAAACUACCAUGAGUAGGGCUUGCCAAAAAGAUUGACAGCGUAUGUCAACCUCAAAGACUUAAGACUGGUAAUUACCAAUUUUGGAAUAUAAAAUUAUGUGAUAUAGUUAAAGAAAUUGGGAGGGAAUCAUAAAAAUGAACAAAUAAUGAUAGACUAUCAAACAUUAUCAUGUAAAUAGAAAAGUUUCAUUUAACCAAAAAGUAUAAAAUUUCUAUGUGUAUGCCUUUAAGUACCUUUAAGAUAUAGUAAGAAAAAUGUAAGUUGGGCUUCAUCAAAAUCAACCACUAUUGUACAUCACAGGAUAUUGAAAACUGUACCUGCAGAAUGGGAGAAAAUAUUUGAAAAUCAUUUAUCUGACAUUAGAUUAAUUAAUUAAUGGGAUUAAUAUUCAGAAUAUGUUAAGAUACUCUACAACUCAACAACAAAAAAUUGGACAGCCUAAUCAAAAAGUGAGCAAAAGAAUGAAUACUUCUUCAAAGAAGUUGUAUGAAUGGUUAAUAAUCAUAUUAAAAGAUGUUCAACAUUACUAAUCAUUAAAGUAAUGAAAAUUCGAACUAUUGCGAGAUACAACUCAUUGUGAUUGCAAUCAAUGAGAUUGCAAGUACUUGUGUGGCCUCAGUUUUUUUUUAAAGAAGGAAAAUAAAAAGUAUUGGUAAGGAUGUGGAGAAAUUGAAAACAUCAUAAUUUGCUGGUAGAGUAUAAAAAUGUACAGCCUCUAUGAAAAAUAGUUUGGUAGUUCUUCCAAAAGCUAAUCAUAGACUCAUUAUAUGAUGCAGGAAUCUCACUGUUAGGUAGAAUUGAAAACUGGGGCUCAAUCUGAUAUUUGUAACCCAUGUUGACUUCAGCAUUAUUCCCAGUAGCACAAAGGUGGAAAAAACUGAUGAAAACAAAAACCAAAUGUAGCAGACUCAUACAAUGGAAAAUUGUUCAGCUAUACAAGUAAUAAUAUCUUAAUGCAUGCUAUAAAAUGGAUGAAACUGAAAUAUGCUAAGUGAUAUAAGCCAAAUAUAGGCAAAUUCAUAGAGACAGAAAGCAGUUUAGAGAUUCCCAGAGUUUGGGAGAGAGGGAAAGAGAGAGUUUUGUUUAAUGGCUAUAGAGUUUGUUUGAGUUAUGAAGAAGUUUUAUAAAUACAUAGUGCUUAUGGUUGUAUAAUAUAGGGAAUACAGUUAAUACUACUGAAUAAUACACAUUAAAUGGUUCAAGUGGCUAGUUUUAUGUGGCAUAUAUUCUAUCACAUUAAAAAUAAUAAAAAAUGGAUAAAACUAGGAGAAGAAAUGGAUUUUAUUAUAGAGAGAUUUCAACACAUCUCUCUCAACUAUUGAAAGACACACUUUCUCAUUAUGGAUGGACAAGUAGUCAAAAUUCAAUAAAAAGAGAAAUAUGAAAACUUGUACAUUUAUAAUCUGUAUGCACAAGAAUUUACAUUUCUCAGAAAUAUCCUACUGAAAGUCUUGCCCGCAUGAACCACAAGGCAGUUGUAAUCAUUUUAAUAGCAUUUUUAUUAAUUCUGUGAAAAACUAGAAGCAAUUUAAAGUGUCAUUAAAAGAAAUGCAAAUGUGUGUUUUUGAAUAUUUACACAAUGGAAUUUUAGUCUGCAGUAUACAAGUUAUAAUCAUAUGCAACACUACAGAAGAAUUUUACUUACAUAGUAGUGAGACAGUCAAAGUACAUUAAUUCAUUUUUUUGUAAAUCUCCAAAUACAGGCAUUCUUAAUUUAAAUGUGAUUUUAUAGCAGUUAUUUUGCUAUUAUGAAUGUAAUUUUUAUAUUAGUUACACAUAUCUAUUUGUAUCCAUUAAUAUGAUACAGAAUAUGAUAAUGUGAAAUACCAUAUAACAAGUUUAUGUCAGUGUUGCAUUAUCAUAAUAACUACGGUUGAUAAGCCAAUAAAGAUUUAUUAAAUACACCAUAUUUUAGUUUGGUGGUUUUUAUGAGAGACUUACAAUGUACAGAGAUUGAGGUAAUUUGAAAUAUUGCUGUUUAUGCACAGUAUUGUGUUUUUGUGAUUAUUUUUUCAGCUAUAGAAAUGAAAAUAUUGCCUGAAUAAACUGUGACAGGAAAUUUGAAGCUUUUAAAUAUGGCUUAUUUCUUUAUGAAUAUCCAUGAUCUGGUCAGAGAGAAUGAUAAUAUCUGUUCUUAAUAUUACUAUUAAAAUUUUUAUAAAGACUGAAAUACAAAUAAAACAUAUAUAUGCAUUGGUUAGGCAAGGAUAAAACUAUCAUUUAUGCACAAUACAAUCAUUUACCUAGAAAGUCCAAUAUUAUCAAUGGAAAAAAUCUAUUAAAUCAAAUCAGACACAUGUAUACAAAAUUCAACAUAAAGUAACUUUCUUCAUAGGGAAAUUAUUAUUUAGACCAUACCAACAGAAGGAUAUCCCAAAUACAAUAGCACCACACACCAAGAAACAAAAUUAAAUCUAACAGGCCAUUAUGUAAAACAAUAAAACACUGUGAAAGAUAAAUAAGCCAACCUAAAUAAAUGCAGAGGCAUAGCAUGUUCCUAGAAUAGAAUAUUUAACAUUAUAAAGGUGCUGUUUCUCCCUAAAUUAAUCUAUAAAUUUAAUGCAAUCCCACAUAAAAUCCUUAAAGAAGUAUUUGUGGAGUUUGACAUGUUUAGUUGAAAGUUUAAUUGAAGAGAAAAAUGUAGCAAUAGCCAAGAAUGUUGUGAAAAGUUCAAAAAGUGACAUUUGCUUAGUCACAUUAGGAAAUACCUCAGUAUAUAGCCAUAGUAGCUAAGCUUAUGCCAGUAAUUAAUUGUUUAGAAAUAGGCGGCAUGGUGGUACCGAAAAAGAGAAUACAAAACCAAGUCUAGCUUCAUAGGAGACUUUAUUAUGUGUGCAGGAAAUGUCUGUCGUUACUUGUGGGGAAAUCAGUGGGAAAGGAAUAGGAACAGUCUGGAACAAUUUGCAGACAACUUGGAAAUGC
rnacentral:lncRNA from 1 species